UACGGGGGGUGCGAGCGUUGUCCGGAAUCACUGGGCGUAAAGGGCGCGUAGGUGGCUUUGUAAGUUUGCGGUGAAAGCCCGGGGCUCAACCCCGGGUCUGCCGUGGAUACUGCAAGGCUUGAGUACUGUAGAGGCAGGUAGAAUAUCGGGUGUAGCGGUGGAAUGCGUAGAGAUCCGAUAGAAGACCGGUGGCGAAGGCGGCCUGCUGGGCAGUAACUGACACUGAGGCGCGACAGCGUGGGGGGCAAACAGG
rnacentral:rRNA from 1 species